UAGGGAAUCUUCCGCAAUGGACGCAAGUCUGACGGAGCAACGCCGCGUGAGUGAAGAAGGAUAUCGGUUCGUAAAACUCUGUUGUUAGAGAAGAACAGCGCAUAGAGUAACUGUUAUGCGUGUGACGGUAUCUAACCAGAAAGCCACGGCUAACUACGUGCCAGCAGCCGCGGUAAUACGUAGGUGGCAAGCGAUGUCCGGAUUUAUUGGGCGUAAAGCGAGCGCAGGCGGUCAAUUAAGACUGAUGUGAAAGCCCCCGGCUCAACCGGGGAGGGUCAUUGGAAACUGGUUGACUUUAGUGCAGAAGAAGAGAGUGGAAUUCCAUGUGUAGCGGUGAAAUGCGUACAAAUAUUGAGGAACACCAGUUUAGAAGGCGACUCUAUGGUCUGUAACUGACGAUGAGGCUCGAAAGCGUGGGUAGCAAACAGG
rnacentral:rRNA from 1 species